AUUGAACGCUGGCGGCAGGCCUAACACAUGCAAGUCGAGCGGAUGAAGAGAGCUUGCUCUCUGAUUCAGCGGCGGACGGGUGAGUAAUGCCUAGGAAUCUGCCUGGUAGUGGGGGACAACGUUUCGAAAGGAACGCUAAUACCGCAUACGUCCUACGGGAGAAAGCAGGGGACCUUCGGGCCUUGCGCUAUCAGAUGAGCCUAGGUCGGAUUAGCUAGUUGGUGAGGUAAUGGCUCACCAAGGCGACGAUCCGUAACUGGUCUGAGAGGAUGAUCAGUCACACUGGAACUGAGACACGGUCCAGACUCCUACGGGAGGCAGCAGUGGGGAGUUUUGGACAAUGGACGCAAGCCUGGUCCAGCAAUGCGCUGCAGGAUGAAGGCCUUCGGUUGUAACGUAGCUUUGUACGGUAACGAAACGGUAGAGCUCUAAUAC
rnacentral:rRNA from 1 species